rnacentral:misc_RNA from 1 species
AAGUCGUAACAAGGUUUCCGUAGGUGAACCUGCGGAAGGAUCAUUACAAAUCCAACGUCUCUCCCGAGACACUGUCGAAACAUAGCCCAAGGAGGGCGAGCGAGGCCGCGCGCGAGCGAGCGAGUGAGCCGGUACGAGCGACCAGUCCCCCUCUCCCCUCUUUUGGGGGGCGGGAGGCAGUUGCCCGCACCGCAACCAAGCAAGCAAGCAAGCACCUCACUCUCUCUUUGACGGCGAACACUCACUAGAAACUGUUGAUCAUCUGUAUGCUUCUUAACAAAGAAACAACUUAUACCAAUGGAUCUCUAGGCUCUU